GAUGAACGCUGGCGGCGUGCCUAAUACAUGCAAGUCGAACGAACAGGCGCGGCUCUUUCUCCUCAGUCGUUACCAACGGACGAGUGAGUAACACGUGGAUAACCUACCUAUCUGACUGGGAUAACUUCGAGAAACCGGAGCUCCUACCAGAUAAUAUAUUCGACCGCAUGGUGCUGUAGUGAAAGACGGUUUUGCUGUCACUUCUAGAUCUAUCCGCGCCGCAUUAGCUUGUUGGUUCGGUAACGAGUUACCAAGGCAACGAUCCGUAGCCGACCGGAGAGGGUGAUCGGCGGCCCGGGAGCGGGAACAGGGACCAGACGCCUACGGGAGGCAGCAGUAGGGAAUCUGCCGCAAUGGGCGAAAGCAUGACGGAGCAACGCCGCGUGAGUGAUGAAGGUCUUCGGAGCGUAAAACUCUGUUAUUAGGGAAGAACAAAUGUGUAAGUAAAUAUACACGAAGUGACGGUACCUGAUCAGAAAGCCACGGCUAACUACGUG
rnacentral:rRNA from 1 species